AUUGAACGCUGGCGGAAUGCUUUACACAUGCAAGUCGAACGGCAGCACGGGAGCUUGCUCCUGGUGGCGAGUGGCGAACGGGUGAGUAAUAUAUCGGAACGUAUCCAAUAAUGGGGGAUAACUAAUCGAAAGGUUGGCUAAUACCGCAUACGCCCUGAGGGGGAAAGCUGGGGAUCUUCGGACCUAGCGUUAAUGGAGCGGCCGAUAUCUGAUUAGCUAGUUGGUGAGGUAAAAGCUCACCAAGGCGACGAUCAGUAGCUGGUCUGAGAGGACGACCAGCCACACUGAAACUGAGACACGGUCCAAGCUCCUACGGGAGGCAGCAGUGGGGAAUUUUGGACAAUGGGGGAAACCCUGAUCCAGCCAUUCCGCGUGAGGGAAGAAGGCCUUCGGGUUGUAAAGCUCUUUCGAAAGGGAAGAAACGUUACCGGUGAAUAUCCGGUGAUAAUGACGGUACCUUGAUAAGAAGCACCGGCUAACUACGUGCCAGCCGCCGCGGUAA
rnacentral:rRNA from 1 species